AACGAACGCUGGCGGCAGGCUUAACACAUGCAAGUCGAACGCAUCCUUCGGGGUGAGUGGCAGACGGGGGAGUAACGCGUGGGAACGAGCCCUUCAGUUCGGAAUCACCCAGGGAAACUUGGGCUAACACCGGAUACGUGCGAGAGCAGAAAGAUUUAUCGCUGAAGGAUCGGCCCGCGUCUGAUUAGCUAGUUGGUGAGGUAAUGGCUCACCAAGGGGACGAUGAGUAGCUGGUCUGAGAGGAUGAUCAGCCACAUUGGGACUGGGACACGGCCCAAACUCCUACGGGAGGCAGCAGUGGGGAAUAUUGGACAAUGGGCGCAAGCCUGAUCCAGCCAUGCCGCGUGAGUGAUGAAGGCCUUAGGGUUGUAAAGCUCUUUCAGUGGGGACGAUAAUGACGGUACCCGCAGAAGAAGCCCCGGCUAACUUCGUGCCAGCCGCCGCGGUAA
rnacentral:rRNA from 1 species